AACGAACGCUGGCGGCAGGCUUAACACAUGCAAGUCGAACGCCCCGCAAGGGGAGUGGCGCACGGGUGAGUAACGCGUGGGAAUAUGCCCUUCGGUUCGGAAUAACACAGGGAAACUUGUGCUAAUACCGGAUACGAUCUACGGAUGAAAGAUUUAUCGCCGAGGGAGUAGCCCGCGUAGGAUUAGCUAGUUGGUGAGGUAAUGGCUCACCAAGGCGACGAUCCUUAGCUGGUCUGAGAGGAUGAUCAGCCACGCUGGGACUGAGACACGGCCCAGACUCCUACGGGAGGCAGCAGUGGGGAAUAUUGGACAAUGGGCGAAAGCCUGAUCCAGCCAUGCCGCGUGAGUGAUGAAGGCCUUAGGGUUGUAAGGCUCUUUCGCCAGGGAAGAUAAUGACGGUACCUGGAAAAGAAGCCUCGGCUAACUCCGUGCCAGCAGCCGCGGUAAAAC
rnacentral:rRNA from 1 species